rnacentral:rRNA from 1 species
GAAACCGCAUGAUUUUGAUUUUAAAGAUUUAUCGCUGCAAGAUGGACCCGCGUCUGAUUAGCUAGUUGGUGAGGUUAAACGGGCCCACCAAGGCGACGAUCAGUAGCCGGGCCUGAGAGGGUGAACGGGCCACAUUGGGACUGAGACACGGCCCAAAACUCCUACGGGAGGCAGCAGUGGGGAAUAUUGCACAAUGGGGGAAACCCUGAUGCAGCGACGCCGCGUGAGUGAAGAAGUACUUCGGUAUGGUAAAGCUCUAUCAGCAGGGAAGAAAAUGACGGUACCUUGACUAAGAAGCACCGGCUAAAUACGUG